UUUUUUUUUUUCUCCCCUUUUUUUAAUACUUGGCUUAUGUUUGCUUGUUUUCAAUACUCUUGUUGUGACCUCAAAUUUCUGUUGAAACCAGAUAGUCAUAUAGUUUGAUAAUUUUUUCUAUAUUUGUUGGCUUAUUGUUGUUCUGUUGUGAUUGUAUUACUCUUAUACCCACAAUUGUUUCUCAAACUUUUGCACUUUCUCAUGUUCUGUAUGGCAAGUGCUUGGCUUCAAUGAGUUGCUGUUAUGAUAAUAAGGAGAAUAGG
rnacentral:misc_RNA from 1 species